GUGGCUCCUGGGCCAGGGGCUGCUCUGAACAGGCUCCUGGAGAUGCUUCAGCCUGGAUACAGGCCACUGACAGCCCAAAAGCAGCCCAAGGAGCAGCUGGCGUGUCCUGGUGAUGGUGGCACGGGCUGCGUGCAGAGGGGCUCAGACAGCAAUUCCUGGUUCCAGCCUCCCAGAGCUCCCAGGCAGCUGCCAGCUAUUAAAUGCCAACCGACAGCCUGCAGAGAUGCCUUCAAAUCAAAGGUUCAGGUGGGAUGAAGUUUUGUUUGGACGAAGGUGGGAGUUUCCAGGGAGCCAGCUGGAAGUGCAGAAGGGAUGGAAAGCUUUCCCAGGUGCUGGACUUGCCUCUGUGGAUGUGUGCUGAGCUCUCACUACAGGGGACUGUGAGGCCUGACUGGCUGUGAGUUUGUGUUCUUCUCACAGGGGAAUCAGAAAUGAUCAUUAAUUAGACCACAGAAAUCUUUUCUGAAACCUUUCCCCUUUCCUGCCCUUUGCUGGUAAGUCUUUUCUUUCUGCCUUUAACUCUACAGCUGUUCCCUGAUGUCAUUGCCCCAGUCUCACUUCUGUGCAGCUCCUAGCUGGGGAAAACUCAUAAUAGAGCUGGUAACAAGUAAGCACUUGUUUCUACACUUCUUUUUCCAAAACUUUCACCAGAACUUAAUUUCACUAGUUAGGAAGCGUGGUGAGGGGUGCAGGAGGAGCAGGAAUAGGGGAGGGAAGCCUUGAGCACUGCAGGCUACAAAGAUCUGCAUUUAUCAAUUUGAUUUAGUCCUGCUGUGUUAAGGAUACAUAAAUAGGCAAAAUCCAAGGCACAGGGUGAAGUUCCUGUGACAAUGCUACUGUGUGUUUAUCUUGAAUUACUCAGUGUGCCCCAUUUCCCUUUAAUAAGUGCUCUGAUACCCCUGUAGGAAACAAACACAACAUGGGUGGGACAGUGCACCUCACAACUCCACAAAGAGUGGCACCUCCACCUCGUAUGGCAAUGCCAUUUUAGUACAGCCCAACUGUCUCACAGCAGAGGGCUGAAGGCCCCUGGGAAAACAAUUCU